rnacentral:rRNA from 1 species
GAGCUUGCUCUUAUGAAGUUAGCGGCGGACGGGUGAGUAACACGUGGGUAACCUGCCCAUAAGACUGGGAUAACUCCGGGAAACCGGGGCUAAUACCGGAUAACAUUUUGAACCGCAUGGUUCGAAAUUGAAAGGCGGCUUCGGCUGUCACUUAUGGAUGGACCCGCGUCGCAUUAGCUAGUUGGUGAGGUAACGGCUCACCAAGGCAACGAUGCGUAGCCGACCUGAGAGGGUGAUCGGCCACACUGGGACUGAGACACGGCCCAGACUCCUACGGGAGGCAGCAGUAGGGAAUCUUCCGCAAUGGACGAAAGUCUGACGGAGCAACGCCGCGUGAGUGAUGAAGGCUUUCGGGUCGUAAAACUCUGUUGUUAGGGAAGAACAAGUGCUAGUUGAAUAAGCUGGCACCUUGACGGUACCUAACCAGAAAGCCACGGCUAACUACGUGCCAGCAGCCACGGUAAUACGUAGGUGGCAAGCGUUAUCCUAAAUUAUUGGGCGUAAAGCGCGCGCAGGUGGUUUCUUAAGUCUGAUGUGAAAGCCCACGGCUCAACCGUGGAGGGCAUUGGAAACUGGGAGACUUGAGUGCAGAAGAGGAAAGUGGAAUUCCAUGUGUAGCGGUGAAAUGCGUAGAGAUAUGGAGGAACACCAGUGGCGAAGGCGACUUUCUGGUCUGUAACUGACACUGAGGCGCGAAAGCGUGGGGAGCAACAGGAUUAGAUACCCUGGUAGUCCACGCCGUANCGAUGAGUGCUAAGUGUUAGAGGGUUUCCGCCCUUUAUGCUGAAGUUAACGCAUUAAGCACUCCGCCUGGGAGUACGGCCGCAGGUGAAAUCAAGGAAUGACGGGGCCGCCAAGCGGGGAGCAUGUGUUAUUCAAGCACGCAACAACUUACAGGCUGACAUCUCUGAAACCUAAGAUAGGCUCUCUUCGGAAGAUGACAGGUGUGCAUGGUGUCGCACUCGUGUCGGAGAUGUGG